CGGACGUGGAUAACCUGCCUCACACAGGGGGAUAACAGUUAGAAAUGACUGCUAAUACCGCAUAAGCGCACGGCAUCGCAUGAUGCAGUGUGAAAAACUCCGGUGGUGUGAGAUGGAUCCGCGUCUGAUUAGGUAGUUGGUGGGGUAACGGCCUACCAAGCCGACGAUCAGUAGCCGACCUGAGAGGGUGACCGGCCACAUUGGGACUGAGACACGGCCCAA
rnacentral:rRNA from 1 species